AAACCUUGAGAGAUGGAUUAAGCUUCCCUGAAAGUGCUUGUAACAAGGUGGUCUUUCCGCAGCCUGGAGGGCCAAGCAAUAGAGUCAUCCUGCAUAAAAACAAUCAUGCAUAGCUGACAAGAAUGUAGAAGUCGAUAGCCAAAGUGAACCUUGAGGGCUUGAUGAUGCCGCUGAUAUCUUUGAGAAUUUUUAUCUUGUAUGAUUGAGACUUGCAUCUGCUAACUUUUGUCAAAGCCUGUUUAACAUUAUAAAUCUCUCCCAUUAGGGUGAUAUAUAUCCAAAUAGUAAUGAAAAAGAGCGCAUUUGAGGAA